AGAAGAUUGGGUAAGACAGCAAUUAAACCUCUGGGUUAAUAAUAAAAAACCCCUUAACCCGGAGGAGAGUCAAUAUGCGGAAGUGUGGCUAGAAAGACCGAGAGCUAGACUUUAUCCGCUGAAUGAAAUAAAAACUAAACAAAAGAAAAAGAAGGAAGAGUUAGACGAAACCCUUCUAACCCCCCCUCCUUACAUUCCUCCUCCUGCUCCCGCAGAAGUCCCCAGAGCGCCCACUCCCCCACCAGAGUCGGAACAAGGGUCUCCCCCUCUUCCUAGACGCGUAACUAGAAGUCAAAAAGGGGCAGCUCAGAUGUACCCCCUAAGGGAAAUACCCAUGGGGGGACCUCAACCUGUGAUCGGAUAUAUUUCCGUACCCCUAAACUCGGCUGACCUACGAGAUUUUAAAAGAACCGAAAUGGGAAACUUAAUUGAGGACCCACUGGGAGUGGCAGAAAGAUUAAAUCAAUUUUUGGGACCAAACCUUUAUACUUGGGAUGAGAUGCAAUCUAUCCUUGGUCAAUUAUUUACUACCGAGGAAAGAGAUAUGAUUAGACGAGCAGGAAUGAGACUGUGGGAUGCUCAACAUGCCCAGGGACCCCAAGCAGAUAUUAAAUGGCCACUUCAAAGACCUAAUUGGGAUAAUCAGGAUCCGGUGCAUAGAACUCAUAUGCAGGACCUGAGAACUAUAGUAAUUCAGGGAAUUAGAGAAGCAGUACCCCGUGGCCAGAAUAUCAAUAAAGUUUGGUCCCAAAAAUUGAUUUAAUCUUUCUGCCACUCCCAGUGGGUCCUCAAUUAAGUUUCCCAUUUCGGUUCUUUUAAAAUCUCGUAGGUCAGCCGAGUUUAGGGGUACGGAAAUAUAUCCGAUCACAGGUUGAGGUCCCCCCAUGGGUAUUUCCCUUAGGGGGUACAUCUGAGCUGCCCCUUUUUGACUUCUAGUUACGCGUCUAGGAAGAGGGGGAGACCCUUGUUCCGACUCUGGUGGGGGAGUGGGCGCUCUGGGGACUUCUGCGGGAGCAGGAGGAGGAAUGUAAGGAGGGGGGGUUAGAAGGGUUUCGUCUAACUCUUCCUUCUUUUUCUUUUGUUUAGUUUUUAUUUCAUUCAGCGGAUAAAGUCUAGCUCUCGGUCUUUC
rnacentral:lncRNA from 1 species